AUUGAACGCUGGCGGCAGGCCUAACACAUGCAAGUCGAACGAGUGGCGGACGGGUGAGUAAUGUCUGGGAAACAGCACGAAGGAGGGGGAAAACUACCGGAAACGGUAGCGAAUACCGCAAACCAACGGACGUGCUCAGAUGGGAUUAGCGAGUAGGUGGGGUAACGGCUCACCUAGGCGAAGAUCCCUAGCUGGACUGAGAGGAUGACCGCCCACACUGGAACUGAGACACGGUCCAUGCUCCUACGGGAGGCAGCAGUGGGGAAGAUUGGCCAAUGGGCGCAAGCCUGAUGCAGCAAUGCCGCGUGUAGGAAGAAGGCCUUCGGAUUGUAAAGUACUAUCGGCGGGGAAGGGUUACUCGAAGAAGAAGCACCGGCUAACUCCGUGCCAGCAGCCGCGGUAAUGC
rnacentral:rRNA from 1 species